CUGGCGGCGUGCCUAAUACAUGCAAGUCGAACGGUCUUUCUAUGGAAGCUUGCUUCCACUGAGAAGAUAGUGGCGAACGGGUGAGUAACACGUGGGUAACCUGCCCAUAAGAGGGGGAUAACAUCCGGAAACGGGUGCUAAUACCGCAUAGUUUUCUUGAUCGCAUGAUCGGGAAAGGAAAGACGGCCUUUGUGCUGUCGCUUAUGGAUGGACCCGCGGCGUAUUAGUUAGUUGGUGAGGUAACGGCUCACCAAGACGAUGAUACGUAGCCGACCUGAGAGGGUGAUCGGCCACAUUGGGACUGAGACACGGCCCAAACUCCUACGGGAGGCAGCAGUAGGGAAUCUUCCGCAAUGGACGAAAGUCUGACGGAGCAACGCCGCGUGAGUGAAGAAGGUUUUCGGAAUCGUAAAACUCUGUUGUCAGAGAAGAACAAGUUGGAGAGUAACUGCUCCAGCCUUGACGGUAUCUGACCAGAAAGCCACGGCUAACUACGUGCCAGCAGCAGC
rnacentral:rRNA from 1 species